rnacentral:rRNA from 1 species
AAUCAACGCUGGCGGCGUGCCUAAUACAUGCAAGUCGAACGCGAAAGUGGAGCAAUCCAUGAGUAGAGUGGCAAACGGGUGAGUAACGCGUGGGUGACCUGCCCUCGAGUGGGGGAUAACGUCUCGAAAGGGACGCUAAUACCGCAUGACAUCCUGCCUUUUAAGAGGCGGAGAUCAAAGCUGGGGAUCGCAAGACCUAGCGCUUGAAGAGGGGCCCGCGUCCGAUUAGCUAGUUGGUGGGGUAACGGCUCACCAAGGCAUCGAUCGGUAGCCGGCCUGAGAGGGCGGACGGCCACACUGGGACUGAGACACGGCCCAGACUCCUACGGGAGCAGCAGUAGGGAUUGUUCGCAAGUGGGCGCAAGCCUGACGACGCAACGCCGCGUGGAGGAUGAAGACC